GUGGGUGUAGCUCAGGUGGUUAGAGCGCCAGGUUGUGGCCCUGGAGGGCGUCGGUUCGAGUCCGAUCAUCCACCCCA
rnacentral:tRNA from 1 species